rnacentral:rRNA from 1 species
UACGAAGGGGGCUAGCGUUGUUCGGAAUUACUGGGCGUAAAGCGCGCGCAGGCGGUUUCUCAAGUCAGUGGUGAAAGCCGGGAGCUCAACUCCGGAACUGCCAUUGAAACUGUGAGACUUGAGGACGAGAGAGGUGAGUGGAAUUCCCAGUGUAGAGGUGAAAUUCGUAGAUAUUGGGAAGAACACCGGUGGCGAAGGCGGCUCACUGGCUCGUUUCUGACGCUCAGGCGCGACAGCGUGGGGAUCAAACAGG